AUGAAGAUGCUAAUAGAAAACAAAAUGGGGGAAGUGAAUUGAAUAAUAGAGGAUUUUUCUCCAUUCUGGUAAAUCUUUACUAAAAUCGAGUAAAAAUGAGACAGCAACUGAAAUAAA